GGUACCAGAGGGAGGGAGGCAGGCAGAGGAGGGGAGAUGGGCACCCCCAGUCUUUCCAUCCUCCUCAUUCGUCUAGGGGCACCCGAAUCCCCUAUUCCUUAUUUCCCCUAUCACUCAGACACCAGCAGAUUCCUUUGCCCACUCCUGUUGGCUGCCGCGGCUCCAAAGCGAGUGUCUUUGUGACUGAGAAGGCCAGAGAUGUAGUGAGAAAGAACAGUGCCAUAUUUGGAAUCUGCUAGUCUGCUUCAAAUCUGAGUUUGACAAGCAAUGAUGAGUCCACGGGCAUUUAUCCCUCCUCUCAGAGUCAUAUGAAAAAAUGAAAGAUACGAGUGACGCAUGGAAGGAAGGAAGCAAGUAACCAAGAAAGAGAGAAAGGAAAGAAGGAAAAAGUUUGGAGAGAUGUAACAGCAAACUACAGUAUUUUCUCCAUUUCUCAGAGUCUCUUCCUUCAUGAGCCCACUCCUACCACAACCAUUCCACCAAAAUAGCUCUGCCGAAGGUCCUUGCCAAAAUAAAUCUGCCAAAGACCCAGCAACCAGGAUUUCAUGUCCUUUAAGCUGCAAAAGACAUCUGGAAAAAAUGCUGUGAAUUAUGAAAUUUAUAUUUGAAAAAUAUUUAAGACCUGAAGGCAGCACAAAUGCUGUCAUAAUUAUUCAAAUCCUGCCUAACAUAUAUGCAAUCACGAGGCUAAAUGAUGAGGAAAAUACGUGGUAUUAAAACAA